AGGAUGAACGCUAGCGGGAGGCCUAAUACAUGCAAGUCGAACGGUAAAUGGUAGCAAUACUAUGAGAGUGGCGUACGGGUGCGUAACGCGUACACAACCUGCCUUGAACUGGAGGAUAGCCUCGGGAAACUGAGAUUAAUACUCCAUAACUUUGCGAAAUGGCAUCAUUUUGCAAUUAAAGCUCCGGCGGUUCAAGAUGGGUGUGCGUCCGAUUAGGUAGUUGGUGAGGUAACGGCUCACCAAGCCGACGAUCGGUAGCUGGUCUGAGAGGACGAUCAGCCACACGGGCACUGAGACACGGGCCCGACUCCUACGGGAGGCAGCAGUAGGGAAUAUUGGACAAUGGACGCAAGUCUGAUCCAGCCAUCCCGCGUGAAGGAUUAAGGCCCUCUGGGUUGUAAACUUCUUUUCUUUGGGAAUAAAAGCGGUAUUCAUAUCGCCUUGAAGGUACCAGGGAAUAAGCACCGGCUAACUCCGCGCCAGCACGCCGCGGU
rnacentral:rRNA from 1 species